UUAGAUACCCUGGUAGUCCACGCCGUAAACGAUGUCGACUUGGAGGUUGUGCCCUUGAGGCGUGGCUUCCGGAGCUAACGCGUUAAGUCGACCGCCUGGGGAGUACGGCCGCAAGGUUAAAACUCAAAUGAAUUGACGGGGGCCCGCACAAGCGGUGGAGCAUGUGGUUUAAUUCGAUGCAACGCGAAGAACCUUACCUGGCCUUGACAUCCAGAGAACUUAGCAGAGAUGCUUUGGUGCCUUCGGGAACUCUGAGACAGGUGCUGCAUGGCUGUCGUCAGCUCGUGUUGUGAAAUGUUGGGUUAAGUCCCGCAACGAGCGCAACCCUUAUCCUUUGUUGCCAGCGAUUCGGUCGGGAACUCAAAGGAGACUGCCGGUGAUAAACCGGAGGAAGGUGGGGAUGACGUCAAGUCAUCAUGGCCCUUACGGCCAGGGCUACACACGUGCUACAAUGGCGCAUACAAAGAGAAGCGACCUCGCGAGAGCAAGCGGACCUCAUAAAGUGCGUCGUAGUCCGGAUUGGAGUCUGCAACUCGACUCCAUGAAGUCGGAAUCGCUAGUAAUCGUAGAUCAGAAUGCUACGGUGAAUACGUUCCCGGGCCUUGUACACACCGCCCGUCACACCAUGGGAGUGGGUUGCAAAAGAAGUAGGUAGCUUAACCUUCGGGAGGGCGCU
rnacentral:rRNA from 1 species